GACGAACGCUGGCGGCGUGCCUAAUACAUGCAAGUCGAGCGAAGUUUUUCUGGUUCUUGCACUAGAAAAACUUAGCGGCGAACGGGUGAGUAACACGUAAAGAACCUGCCUCAUAGACUGGGACAACUAUUGGAAACGAUAGCUAAUACCGGAUAACAGUAUUUCUCGCAUGAGAGAUAUUUAAAAGUUGGUUAUGCUAACACUAUGAGAUGGCUUUGCGGUGCAUUAGCUAGUUGGUGGGGUAAAGGCCCACCAAGGCGACGAUGCAUAGCCGACCUGAGAGGGUGAUCGGCCACACUGGGACUGAGACACGGCCCAGACUCCUACGGGAGGCAGCAGUAGGGAAUCUUCCGCAAUGGGCGAAAGCCUGACGGAGCAACGCCGCGUGAGUGAAGAAGGAUUUCGGUUCGUAAAGCUCUGUUGUUAGGGAAGAAUGGAUAUGUAGUAACUAUACAUAUAAGAGACGGUACCUAACCAGAAAGCCACGGCUAACUACGUG
rnacentral:rRNA from 1 species